UCUGGCAGCAUGGCCAGAGACAGGUCAGAACAUUCCCCGGGCCAGCAAGCUGUGACCACCACGGGGCAAACCCAACUGGGACGCAGGCCUGGGCAGGCACCUUCCUGGGGUAUUGGGGCAGGAGCAAGCAGAAAGCCCUAUCUUCACCCACUGCACCCCGUGCCAGCCUCCUUGCUGACCUUGCCUGAAGGUCCCUCCAUCAGUCACCACGAGCAAAGAGCGGGUGCUGACAUUAAGCCUUGGAGGUUGUUUGAAAAGCUAAUCUUGCCUUAGAAGGCGCCGGGGCUGGUGUGAGAGGAGUCCUUGGACACCCUCAGACAGAAGAUCAUCUAGGGACACGGGAGAAGAUGGCCAGCUACAAGCCAAGGAGAGAGGCUUCUGAAGCAACCAACCCUGCAGACACGAUCUUGAACUUGUAAACCUCCAGGACGGCGACGACAUAAAUUUCAGUUGUUCAGGCCUCCCAGUCUGUGUUGCUUGUCAUGGUGGCCUUAGCCCACUAACACAGUCCCUGUCCCCAGAAUGUCCUGUCUGGUGCCCCAUCUUCUCAUCUCUCUCCACUCUGGGGUCUUCCCUCCCGGGCCACCAGCCCCGGCUUUCACAGCCUCUGAGACAGUUGCAAAUGCAAGCCUGGUCAGGACGUUUCUUGAACUGCAGGUGUGCUGGAACCUUCUGGGGAAUGGAGCACAAUGAGCAUGAGCAGGGGGGCUCCGGAGCGCUUCCUGAGAAGGUGUGGUGAGGAAGACAGAUUGGAUGCCUGGAGGCACAGCAGCCAUCUUUCACCCAUGAGGAGAGAAGUCAGGUGCUAAAGUGUGCUGGAGGAGGAAGGGACAAGGAGUCUGGCUGACACCCUUACACAACAGCACCAACUGUUGGCUGCCAACUCCAAACUUAACU